UUUUUGAAGAGUUUGAUCCUGGCUCAGGAUUAACGCUGGCGGCGUGCCUAACACAUGCAAGUCGAACGAGAAAGGUCUCUUCGGAGGCUUAGUAAAGUGGCGCACGGGUGAGUAAUACAUAGGUAAUCUACCUCUAAAAUUGACAUAACUUCGAGAAAUCGGAACUAAUAUUGGAUAAUAUCCUAGAGAUGUAGGUUUUUAGGAUUAAAGAUGGCCUCUACAUGUAAGCUAUCGUUUAGAGAUGAGCCUUUGUCCUAUCAGCUAGUUGGUGAGAUAAUAGUUCACCAAGGCUAUGACGGGUAGCCGGCCUUAGAGGGUGUACGGCCACACUGGGACUGAUACACGGCCCAGACUCCUACGGGAGGCAGCAGUGGGGAAUUUUGCGCAAUGGACGAAAGUCUGACGCAGCGACGCCGCGUGGGUGAUGAAGGUCUUCGGAUUGUAAAACCCUGUUAAGCAAGAUGAAAUAUCUAUUGCAUAAUACGUAAUAGAUUUGACAGUAUUGCUAGAGAAAGCCCUGGCUAACUCCGUGCCAGCAGCCGCGGUAAUACGGGGAGGGCGAGCGUUAUCCGGAAUCACUGGGUGUAAAGGGUGUGUAGGUUGCAGGAUAAGUCAGAUGUGAAAUCCAUUCGCUUAACGGAUGAACUGCAUUUGAAACUAUCCAGCUAGAGUAUAGAAGAGGAAAGUGGAAUUCCUAGUGUAGCGGUGAAAUGCGUAGAUAUUAGGAAGAACACCAGUGGCGAAGGCGACUUUCUAUUCUAAUACUGACACUGAGGCACGAAGGCUAGGGGAGCAAACAGGAUUAGAUACCCUGUUAGUCCUAGCAGUAAACGAUGGACACUAGGUGUGGGAGGUAUUUAUACCUUUCGUGCCGUAGCUAACGCGUUAAGUGUCCCACCUGGGGAGUACGGUCGCAAGACUGAAACUCAAAGGAAUUGACGGGGGCCCGCACAAGCGGUGGAGUAUGUGGUUUAAUUCGACGCUACGCGAGAAACCUUACCGGGGUUUGACAUGUAUUUGACAGAUAUAGAAAUAUAUUCUCUCUUCGGAGCAGAUACACAGGUGCUGCAUGGCUGUCGUCAGCUCGUGUCGUGAGAUGUUGGGUUAAGUCCCGCAACGAGCGCAACCCUUAUCGUUAGUUGCUAACAGGUUAUGCUGAGAACUCUAGCGAGACUGCCGGUGAUAAACCGGAGGAAGGUGGGGAUGACGUCAAGUCCUCAUGGCCCUUAUGUCCCGGGCUACACACGUACUACAAUGGGGUAUACAAAUGGUUGCAAGACUGUGAAGUGGAGCCAAUCCCAAAAAGUAUCGCUCAGUUCGGAUUGCAGGGUGAAAUUCGCCUGCAUGAAGUUGGAAUCGCUAGUAAUCGCAGAUCAUCUUGCUGCGGUGAAUACGUUCCCGGGCCUUGUACACACCGCCCGUCACACCAGCUGAAUCAGGUGUACCCGAAGCUCCCGAGUAUUCGGGAAAUAAGGUAUGCUUGGUGAGGGGGGUGAAGUCGUAACAAGGUAGCCGUAUCGGAAGGUGCGGCUGGAUCACCUCCUUU
rnacentral:rRNA from 1 species